AAAAAGAAGCAGAAAAAGGAACAUGAAACUGUAAAAUAUGGAGAGCCCUCCCAUUGAGUCACAAGGUUCAGAGUGGACCCCCUUGCUUUCUGGACUCCUUCUCAAAGAGGAGCCCAGGGGCAGCUGGAUCCACUCCUAGUCCCAGACUUGGUCAACGGUUUAUGUUUAAAAGGAUGAGGUGUAGGGACUGUGGAAAAGAGAGAAGAAAAAGAGGGGGAGAGAGAGAGA